UUGACCUCGGAUCAGGUAGGAUUACCCGCUGAACUUAAGCAUAUCAAUAAGCGGAGGAAAAGAAACCAACAGGGAUUGCCCCAGUAACGGCGAGUGAAGCGGCAACAGCUCAGAUUUGGAAUCUGGCCUUCGGGCCCGAGUUGUAAUCUGGAGAGGAUGCUUCUGGCGCGGUGCCUUCCGAGUUCCCUGGAACGGGACGCCGGAGAGGGUGAGAGCCCCGUACGGUUGGACACCUAGCCUCUGUGAAGCUCCUUCGACGAGUCGAGUAGUUUGGGAAUGCUGCUCAAAAUGGGAGGUAAAUUUCUUCUAAAGCUAAAUAUUGGCCAGAGACCGAUAGCGCACAAGUAGAGUGAUCGAAAGAUGAAAAGCACUUUGAAAAGAGAGUUAAAAAGUACGUGAAAUUGUUGAAAGGGAAGCGCCCGUGGCCAGACUUGCGCUGCGCGGACCACCCAGCGUUCUCGCUGGUGCACUCCGCGCGGCGCAGGCCAGCAUCGGUUUUCCUAGGGGGAUAAAGGUCGCGGGAACGUAGCUCCUCCGGGAGUGUUAUAGCCCGUGGCGUCAUGCCCCUGGGGGGACCGAGGACCGCGCUUCGGCAAGGAUG
rnacentral:rRNA from 1 species